CCUACGGGUGGCAGCAGUGAGGAAUAUUGGUCAAUGGACGAGAGUCUGAACCAGCCAAGUAGCGUGAAGGAUGACUGCCCUAUGGGUUGUAAACUUCUUUUAUAUGGGAAUAAACUGUUCCACGUGUGCCUUUUUGUAUGUACUUUAUGAAUAAGGAUCGGCUAACUCCGUGCCAGCAGCCGCGGUAAUACGGAGGAUCCGAGCGUUAUCCGGAUUUAUUGGGUUUAAAGGGAGCGUAGAUGGGUUGUUAAGUCAGUUGUGAAAGUUUGCGGCUCAACCGUAAAAUUGCCAUUGAUACUGGCAGUCUUGAGUACAGUUGAGGUAGGCGGAAUUCGUGGUGUAGCGGUGAAAUGCUUAGAUAUCACGAAGAACUCCGAUUGCGAAGGCAGCUUACUAAACUGCCACUGACAUUGAUGCUCGAAAGUGUGGGUAUCAAACAGGAUUAGAUACCCCUGUAGUC
rnacentral:rRNA from 1 species